ACCCCGGUAUUAUUGCUGUUAUGGGUUUGAAUCGAGCUUAGCCUUGUUCAUUUUUUUACACAACACCCCCGUAAAAAAUACAACACGGCCCGCUCAAGCCUGCGGGCGCCAAGCCCCUUGAAGGGGAAAAAACGCCCCAAACGGCUCCAAAAAAGCCCCUCAAGUGCUUUUUUAGGGCAA
rnacentral:sRNA from 1 species